AUAUAUGAAUAUAUAGGGCUAAACUCUUAACUCGUUUAAGAAUUGGGCGGUGGCAAGGCCCAAGAGCUUAAAAAGUUAAGCGUGCUAGGACGGGAGUAGUACUAGGAUGGGUGACCCCCUGGGAAGUUGGGGCAUCAUAGCUU
rnacentral:rRNA from 1 species